rnacentral:lncRNA from 1 species
AUUCUGCAUCAGAACUCAGCUUCAGAAAGGGGUUCCUGCUCUCCUGUCUGCCCUGGAGAUAGUCACGCAUGACAGCUUGUGGGCUGACUGAGCAUUUAGGCAGCUGCUUUUCCUCUCUCCCUCCAGGAGGAAAAUAGAGCAAAAAGCUUCAGGAAAAAGAGGACCUUAGAACUGAAGGAGCAAGAUUCCAACAUCACACUGUUUUUGUUAGCUGUGUGUGUGUGUUUCCUGUGUAUCCAAAAGACAGAGGAGAUGAAAAAGCAAAAGAAAAGAAACGAGGAAUCAGAUUGGAAAGAAGGUUUCUCCAGGACGUCACCUGUAUGAGGUACACAGUGUGAUGACACACUCUGUGCUUUUCCUACUUGUGUCCACGGCUCAAGCCUGGAAGAAGCCUUAGGACGUGGGGGAAAUGUCUAACGUGGAGUCCACCUGCUGAGCAGGACCGGGUGUGAAGGAAGAAGCUUUGUUCUGAUUCCUCAUGGCCCAGCCACCCCUCGCCUGAGCUGAGCCUGGCCACAGGGCCCGCCUGCAGGAAGGGCUGGCCCAUGGCUUCACACUGGGCUCAGGCUGCGCUAAGAGCCCCGGGUGAGGACCUCCAAGCCCAGGAAGCCUCAGUUGGCCAAAGUGCUAGAUGCGUGUGGUCUGCUUUCAUCCCCGCUUCCCUCAGAGCUUGCAUUUUCCAAAUUCAAGAGAGGCUCCACCUUCAAGAAGACCGGCCUGUCCCUGUUAUUUAUGUGUCCCCCUACCAUAUCUCCCUUUGUUCUGCAGAGCGGUACGCAUAAAAAGCUUUUGGGGAAGGGGAGAAGUGUGGCUCAGUGACUUGCACAGGAAAUUGGAAAUUGGAUCCCCAGGUCUACCCCCACUCCUCUGACUCAUGCUUAAACAAACCCAACACAUGCCCUGACCUUUGCUCUCUCCCUCUAUUGCAGGCCAUACCUGCCAGCAGCCUGCUCUCCCGGCCAUGCUGCGGUUCACAAAAGUCCAGCAUUUGGCUAGCUUCCUGGGGGAAUGAAUCUUUCAGAGCCAAACUAAUGCUAUGCAUGCAGCUUAUGAUUUUUUUUUUUUUGUCUUCAACAAAGUGAAUACUUACUUUUUUUUUGCUCUUUAAAUUGUCAUCCAUUAUAUUCAUCAACACAGAGAGAUGGAACAUUUGGCAAAAUUAUUUUAAGUAGCACUCCAACCUGUGAUCGUAAUUUCAAAUCAAGGAAUUUGCUGAGCAGCUGUGGGGAAGAACAAAAGGCCUGAGAGUGAUUUAGGGCCUGGGGGAGGGGAGGCGGUGGAGUUGAAGGCCCCAGCCGGUAGCAGAAACAGCUGGGGAGGUAGGUUGUGCACACCCCGUGGGGGAGCCGGCCUUCUCAGCCCUGCCAUCCCAUCCACACGUGCCUCAUCAGAGAGUUUUCGUCUCCUGAACAUACCACAUGCAGCACUUUAAAAUAGAUAAACUAAGAGGAUUCAGAUUCAGUUUGAUACCCUCGCUGAGAGCUUCGGCUCGGGAGUUGGACAGGCCUGGCCUUGAAUCCUGGCUCUGCCUCUCACCAGCCUCAGUUGCAUCAUCUGUAAAAUGGGGCUAAUGUAGCAAUCACUUCGCAGAUAUUACUAUGAGGUUGAGUGUUUAUUUGACCCAGUCACUGGCAUAGAACAAGUGUUCAAAAUACUAUUAUUAUCACCAAUAUGCAGAAAUGUUCAAUGUAUACACUCGGUUUUUGCAACCAAUUUAUUCAAUGAACAUCUAUUGAGCACCUGUUAUGUGUUAGGUGCAGGGCUGGGUGUUGUGUGGGUACAAACACAUAAAGCAUAGGAAUUAAUAUGCUAUUAGAUAAACUAAAAAGACUUCUAUUGACUUAAAAAGUAAUAAUGACUUCUAAGCAUAUUUAAGUAAUUUACGAAAGAGCCUUUCUUUUUUUUAUUUUUGAGAUGGAGUCUUGCUCUGUCUCUCAGGCUGGAGUGUAAUGGUGCUAUCUCAGCUCACUGCAACCUCUGCCUCCCGGGUUCAAGCAAUUCUUGUGCCUCAGCCUCCAGAGUAGCUGGGUUUAUAGGCGCGUGCCACGACGCCCAGCUAAUUUCUGUGUUUUUAGUAGAAACGGGGUUUCACCAUGUUGCUCAGGCUAUCUUGAACUCAUGACCUCAGGUGAUCCACCUGCCUCGGCCUCCCAAAGUGCUGGGAUUACAGGUGUGAGCCAUUGCACCCGGUCAAAAGAGGCUUUCUUAACAGAUGGUCUAUUAGAAGCAAUUUGAAAAGAAAAUAUAGAGUUGAAAAAAAUAAAAGGGAAGCUGCAUUCUUUUUAAUUGUUUUUGAACUUGUUGCUUUUCAACACAGCUAUUAUCUAAAUUAACUUAAUUUCUUAAAAUAAGCCCUGCUUGAUACCCGGGAACCUUCAAUCAACUAAUUUGCAGAUAAUCAGACCUAUUUACAAAUAGUCUGGUUUGUCUGAGUGACUUUCAGUGACACAUGCAUACUCAGAAAGGGUAUCAUUUGCCAGGGAUUAGUCAGUUCUGCUGAAUUACAGUCUUCAGAAUGAGAAGUCAUCUAGUUCAACCUUUCAUCCUUUUAAUAGAAUUUCUGGUGGAUAACAGCUGAGCUUCUCCUCCGACUCUGCUAGGAAUGGAGAACUUACUACUUCAAAACGUAGAUGCUGCCUGGGUUGAGCAGCUCUAAAUGUUCAAGAUGGAAUCAUUAAUAGGAAACUAAUUGAAAAGAAUUUGCAUAGCACGUCUCAAGGACAAAAAUCCCUUCUGUUGUUUUUUCCUUUUGUCUUGGUCUGCAUCUCUGUCAUUUGGUGGUGUUUGGACUGCCUGUCUGUCUUCCCUUUUUACUCCGAGCGGCGGCCUGCCCUCUGCCCCCUGCCCCCAGGGGAACAACAAUGGCCCUGAUCACAAUUGGGUGGCCAAGCAUAUCAUGCCGUGGAAGUUUGGAGCCAACACUCAGUUCCAGUUGCUCCUCUCCUUAUUCUCUAGGGUGGCUCCACUAGGUUCUGCUUUCUCAGAAAACAGCAGUGAACUUUGUUCAGCCGAAACCCUAUUUCCCAAGCUGAUACUUGCUCACUGGCCUCCCCUCCUCCAGCUGCUCCCAACUGCUGACCACUUCUUGAGCGCACUGCUAGCUGCUUCUGCUGUUCCAGCACUUCCUGGAAGGCAGCUGCAAGCAGCCGAGGCAGAUGGAGCCCAAGCCCUGUUGCUUGUGGUCUUGGCUUACUGAGCCUGAAUCCACGACCGGAUCAUUAGAAAAGGGACGGUGUGUGUGCCUACCUUUGAAGCCAGUAGGCCAAAAGAAGGGUGAGCAGGACAGCGCCAUAACACCUAGAGUUACUGUGUUUGGUUCACACUUCUGGUUUCCUGCAGAAUUGCUAGAAUUUUUAAAAAAAGGAAGCAGCAAGUUGAGAGCAACUAAAGUAAAAAGAGAAAAGUGAUACAAAGGGAAAGGUUUAUUUUUGGAGCUCUUAGAUUCUGAAACUCCUUCUGACUCUUUUAUCCUUUUACCUCUCCCUUUCUCCUCACUGGGCUCUUUGUCCUCAUGGGGACUGUGCAUCUCUGGUCUCACUCUAGCUCUGGGUCCCUUAGGCUCUUCUGGUUUUCUGGCUCCUGGAGUGAGCCCUUUCAAUGAGGCCCUCCCUCAAUUUCCCAUCCCUCUUGUUCUUCUGCCAUCCAGACUCAUCACAGCCCAAAUCUGAGACCAGCUGGCUGCACCGCUGGCUACUCAGAGCGGCUGGAGACAGCCAUGCCCUGGGGCGACUUGUUCCAUGGUGAUCUGACUGGUUCAUGCAGGGGUCUCGGACCUCACGGACCUCAUCAGGAGCAUCAAAUGGGGUUUUUUUUGGCCGGAAUGAUAUUUAAAACAAUUUGAUUUAGUUAUGAGCAUUUAAGAAAUAGGAGGUCACCAGAAAAUCCAGAGUUUUAGCUCGGCAAGCAGAGAUGGAGAGCUGGCGGUACCCGGUCUUUACCCAUUCUGGAAGGACCACUGGCUGGAGCUGAGAGGCAGUGGCUUCUCUGACAUGGGGCAUACACUCCAUUUUGCUACCUUCUCUGCAACAACAGAGAGUGUCUUCCUGGACCCCAAACUGAGAAUCAGAUGCCUUUAAUCAACGGGCUUGCUUCCUCCCACUCCCCAGACAACCUGAUUCAUGAGAUGCCUGCCUGUUCCCCGUGGGCAUCUGAGUUUGCAGCCCAUGCUCAGUAGAGUUUAUUCGGCAAUCCUUUUCCUGACCUAUAGCAGACUCCUAGCCCACCACAUUUCUAAUGCAGCUGUUGCAAGUCUUGUCCAGACCUUUCAGACCCUUGAUCUCUCCGGGAGAUUGUGCCUCAUACAUUAUUGAAAAGAUUGAGGCCACACAACAUGUGCUCUAAUGCCUCAGCUUUCUGCCUUUCUGCUUCUAAGGUCUCUGUUCUCUCUCCAUUCCGUCCUCCUUCCCUCCUUUCUGACUCUCUUUUUCUUUUUUUCAUCACUUUUAAAAAUUGUAAAAUAGAAUGUACGUACAGAAAAAGGAGGCCGAGGCAGGAGAAUCACUUGAACCUGGGAGACAGAGGUUGCAGUGAGGCGAGAUCACGCAUUGCACUCCAGCCUGGGCAAUAAGAGUGAAACUCUGUCUCAACAAAAAAGAAAAACAAAAAAGAACCAAAAAAAACCCCCCAAAACCAAAGAUAUACAGUUCAGUGAUUUAUCACAAAGUCAACACCAGUGUCAUUAUCAGCCUGAUCGAGAACUAGAACUCUGCCCUCCCUCACCCUGGACGUACUCUUCAUUCCCCCGUCCACCUCUACCCUCCCUCCCUAUCAGAGGCGACCAUUAUCCUGACUUUUUAUGUAAAGCAUCUUUGUUUAUCUUUACCACCUAAAUAUAUAUAUAAACAGAUGUUUAUAGCAGUUUUAUUCAUAACUGUAAAAACUUGAAAGCAACCAAGAUGUCCUUUAGUAGGUGAAUAGAUAAUAAACUGGGAUACAUUCAGGCAAUGCACCAUUAUUCAGUCCUCAAAAGAAAUGAGCUAUCAAGCCAUGACAUGAUAUGGAAGAACUUUAAAUGCAUAUUACUAAGUGAAAGAAGACAGUCUGAAAAGACUAUAUGCUGUGUGAUUCCAACUAUAUGUCAUUGUGGAAAAGGCAAAACUGCAGAGGCAGUAAAAGGAUCAGUAAUUGGCCGGGCGCAGUGGCUUACAUCUGUAAUCCAAGCACUUGGGGAGGCUGAGGCGGGCGGACCAUGAGGUCAGGAGAUCCAGGCCAUCCUGGCUAACACGGUGAAACUCCGUCUCUACUAAAAAUUCAAAAAAUUAGCUAGGCGUGGUGGCAUGCGCCUGUAGUCCCAGUUACUCGGGAGGCUGAGGCAGGAGAAUCGCUUGAACUCGAGAGGCGGAGGUUUCAGUGAGCCAAGAUGGCGCCACUGCACUCCAGCCUGGGCAACAGAGCAAGACUCCGUCUCACACACACAAAAAAAGAAUCAGUAAUUGCCAGGGAUUAGGGGGAGGGAGGGAUCAAACAGUGCAGCACAGAGGGUUUUUAGCACAGUGAACUACUCUGUAUGAUACUAUCAUGAUGGGCACCUGUCAUUAAACAUUUGUCAAAACUUGUAGAAUGUACAAGACCAAGAGAGAACCCUAAUGUGAACUAUGGAUCCUGGGCGAUACCGAUGUGCCAGUGUAGGCUCAUGGAUUGUAACAAACACACAGCCCAGGUGGGGGAUGUUGACAGUGGGGAAGGCUGUGCUAUGUGGGGGGCAGAGGGUAUAUGAGAUAUCUCUGUACCUUCUGUUCAAUUUUGCUGUGAACCUAAAACUGCUCUAAAAAAAUAAAAUCUUAAAAAAAAGGAAAAAAGUCUCUUUAAAUGCUAAGAUUUAGUUUUUGGCUAAACUAAACUUUAGCAUUUCAAUGCUAAAGGCUGUUUUUUUUUUUUUAACUUUAUAUAAAUGUAACUAAACAGUGUGUAUUCUUUCAUGCGCCGCACUUUUUACUCAACAUUAUACUUGUGAAAAUCAUCCAGGUUGUCAUGUGUAGGUGUAGUUUGCAGUUUUUAUCAGUGGAUAGUAUUACAUUAAAGAAAUGGCAUAAUUUGUCUGUCUAUUCUACUCUUGACGGACAUUUAGGUUGUUUCCAGUCUAGGGCUAUUAUAAAUGACGCUUCUGUGAUCAUCCUUGCUCUUGUGUGCUGGUGGAGGCAUAUGUGUGUUUCUGAGGGUAUUACUCUGAGCCUGGAGUCUUCUUUGUGGAAAGGUUUAAAUUAUCAAUUCAGUUUAUUGAAUGGUUAUUGGGUUAGUUAAGAUUUACAUACUUUCUUGUGUCCAUUUUUGAUAAAUUUUCUUUUUAAGGGAUUCACCAAUUUAUCUAAAUUUGCAAAAUGUUUUGGCAUAAAACUAUUCAUAAUACUUUCUUAUGAUCUUUAAUAAAGAUGGUUCUGUUGUGAUGUCUCUUUAUCAUGCCUGACAUUGAUUAUUUUAAUCUUCUUUUUCUUUCUUUUGCC